UACGGAGGGGGGUUAGCGUUGUUCGGAAUGACUGGGCGUAAAGCGCACGUAGGCGGAUGUGCCAGUCAGGGGUGAAAUCCCGGAGCUCAACUCCGGAACUGCCUCUGAUACAGCACGUCUUGAGUUCGAGAGAGGUGGGUGGAAUUCCCAGUGUAGCGGUGAAAUGCGUAGAUAUCGGGGGGGAAUACCAGUGGCGAAAGCGGCACCCUAGCGUUAGCCUGACGCUCAUGUGCGAAAGCGUGGGGAGCAAACAGG
rnacentral:rRNA from 1 species